UGCAUGCAGGGCGGCCGCUGGCGAGUGAUCCGGUGGCGCUAUGGCGCCUGCAUCCCUCGCCUCUCCGAUCGCACCGGUCUGCUCCCUAAGCACGAAGUGGGUGCAUGCAGGGCGGCCGCCGACGAACGAGCCUGCGGCGCGGCGGUCUGCUCCCUGCCGGUUUGAGAUCCGCACUGGUCUCCUCUCUGCUGGCCAUUCUACGGGAAAGAUCGCUGAGUACUUCAUCUAAAUCUGCCGCAAACGACCAGCACUCUGUGCCAAGAAGUGGAAGUAUUUCCUCCCUCACACAUGCUCCCUGCCUCACAUGUGAUGUAAGUAUCGCAUCCCUCACAUGUGCUUCCUGACUCGCGUUCUUCUACAACAUAGAGUAUAUGUGGAUCAAAUUACUUCAUGUCUGCUAACAAAAUUACAUAUCCUAUGUGACAAUGGGUUAUUUUUCUCCUUCGAAAUUGAGGAGCUGGGAGAUAAUGCCACAGAAUAACAUAAGUAUUUCUGUUUGAAGUGUGUAUACUAUCCUGAUAAAAUCCUCAGAACGCAGAAGUGUAUGCAUUCUUGGUUUCAUGCACCAUAUUAUUGUUCAUGUUUGAGAGAUUGGUUUUGAGCAUGUGAAUCUGAGCUUCAAAUACUUUGCCUGAGAAACUUCAGUUAUUGAUAAACGACAGAGGAUGAAAAAUAUUCAGUGAUGUCUCAAGCAUUUCACUGUAACUAUAUUCUUGCACUUUAUGCCUCAUUGAUUCUGUUCUGUUGCAACCUGUCUUAAGGUGCAUCUGCUCCUUCAUUUCUUAAUCACUGUUUCUAUACAAUUUGAUGGCAAAAAAGCGUGGUGGCCGUGGCUGUGUUAUUCAUCACUGAGAGGAAGAAGAAAAGGGGGACAAGGAGCAAUCAUGGGCUUGGCCGGCGUGCUCGAGUGAAACAUGCCCGUUUUAGUGUGGGUCGAGGCACUAGGGCACGUUGUCGGUGUGGCUUGGUCGGUCAUUCCCUAGCUUAAUCAUCAUGCGUUUGGCUGAGGAAGCGAUCGCUAGCGCCAACCAGUACUCUGGCAGGCAAGUACCGCAACAAUUAGUGUGACGGUCGGCAUCAGACUGCGCAAGAAGACGGCUCUGCUCCAGCCCAAAUGCUGGAGCCAGUACUCCCGUCUUCUGGAGGAAGGACAACAGCCUCUGGUAGAGCAGGACGACAACAGCUUCACAGCGUCACCGAAGUCCGUGCGGUGGCUAAGUUCGGCAUUAGCCUAGCUGCUAGCCAGAAGUUGGAGAUGAAGGGGAGAGGCAGGGGUCAGCAAACGCAAAGGGGCAGGGGUCACCAUAGUUGUUAAUUCGUUUUUUCUGAAUUUAUAGCGAUGCAAUAUAAGUUUCUGAAUUUCUGUCAACUGAAGAUCGUGCAUAGUAGUGGUCUAUUGAUAGUACUGGUCAAGGUGUCAAAUACUUUGUUUUUGCUUUGCAUCAAACCAUUUCUUUUCUGCUCUGGAGUUUAGAGUCAGCCCCACCUUGAUUUUCCUCCGUCCUCCGCCACUGCUCCUAAAUGUAUUGGAAUUCAGCAGGUCAUGAAAAUGGACGGAUGUGAUAGCGAAGGAACCAGAGGGAAUGAUACUACUGUAUCAGCAAUGGUGUUGAUACGUAAGUACUCCAUCUAUUCUACAUUCUUGUAUCUUUUCACAAAAAGCUAUCAAACUUGUGUACUGUCAUGCCUUCUAAUUUUUCUUGUUAAUUUGCACACAGGUAGAAGAUACAAAAAUGAGGAAGAUACUAAAAGACACAUAGAUGAGUAACACAGAUGAGAAAUUCAUAUGCCCAUCAUGUCUUGGAUGAGAAACAGUAUGAAAACUUCAAUGAAAAAUUCAGCACUGCCAAAGCAUUUGGAAAUGCUACCAGAAAUGAAAAACAAUUAGGGGGUAGAUGCACUAGAGGAAGGAAAGAGGAGCUCCAGUUUGAUCCCAUACUUUGUGUCAUAAUUUCAUAUCGAUUAAUUCUUGUGUCUCAAUGAUUCACUCUAUAAUUCUCAUUGACGAACUUUGGGCAGUACCUUGAUGAAUGUACUUCAAAUCUUUACUAUUAAAGGGUACGUUUUUUUUGGUAUGUUCGCCUCCUUCGCUACAUGGCACCUUUCCAUCAUUUUCAUUUUCAAUAUAUUAAGUGAAGCUUUCUCUUUUUUAUUUAAUUUGUGCUGGAAAGGAGGAAUACAUAGUUUUGCUACAUAAUAGUAUAAAUAAGAUAAGGAAGAGGGUAUUGCAACUAGCAAGGUAGCCUGUUCACAGUAUGACUGUGAACUUCCUUAAAAAUAUGUAUGGUUGUUGUAUCCUACAAAACAAUAUAAUUUUCCAUGAUUUUUCUGCGGUUUGCAAAACUCAAAUCUUCAAAAAGCACACGUCUUUUCAUAUUGAAAAUGUACCUAUGUUGAAACUUUGUCUGUCAGUCAUUCAGUUCGAAGUGAAAACACACAGAAAACUGUACUGUUAAGAGGUGUUGUCUCCUGUGCAUGGAUCAACCUGGAUGGUGGGGGGUGGAUCGGGGACGUAGCGGUAGCGGCCAGGUCUGGUGUACUUGCCAGUUAUCUUCAAUUCAGGCCUUGAAAUCUCAAUAUUUGAACGAUCAGAAUCUUCCUUUCAGUUGAGUGCAUGAGAUUACUUUGGAAGCAAACUGCAACUUUCUUGAGGUGCCCAAUACUAAACUGGGAGGUGCUGGGAGGCUGAUGCUUAACUACCUCCGGAUGAAACUGACAUCGAGGUGAGUAGUGCCUACUUUAUUCUUUUAGUAUGAAUUGAUUAGCAUUUCAUAGAAACAUGAUGUAU
rnacentral:lncRNA from 1 species